GUUAUGUCUUCAAAAUCACUUAUUAAUGAUGUACCUUUGAAAAUAAAGAAAAAAUCAUCCUCAAACUAUAUCAGAAUCGGGCAUUGUGAGGAAUGUUAUCACAGCAUGCCAAGCUGUGAAAGAAAUCAAAUAUUAUACCUGUGAAUACUGACGAGGAUGAAACAACAUCACAUGUUAAUCCCUGAUUGAGUGAUACUACAUCCUAAGGAAAUUGCCCAACCCCUCAAGAUACUUCCAAGUGUGGUUGUAUUUGAGUCUUCAAAAUGUCAUUUCACUAUUCUCUCAGGACAACUGCUUCAGGAUGAUAGGGAACAUGCUACUUGGCCAUGCAGAGAAGCUUGGAAUGAUCACAGAAGCUGACAGGGCCGCUGAUACUGUGGAAGGCUGGCUGCAAAAAAGUAAUGUCUGCUAAAAACAGAUCCUUCCAGUAUAAUCAGAGAAAAACUGCAGCACCCCAGAGAUAAGCGAAAUCAUACACCAGCAAAAGACUUUAGAUUAAUGAAGAAAGAGAGCUGAGGUAUUACAAAAGCUUCUUGGCUACCUCCUCUUGCCUCAGACAUAUGCCUGCCGACAGGUACUGAGUAUAUGACAUCUCGAGGACUUUAGAGAAUAAGUAGUAUUUUAAUUUGUUGAGCAAUAACUAAAUGCCAAACAUCUGGCAUAGAGUGUCUAAAAAUCCUUUCAAUGGUUUUGCAAAGUAGGUAUAGUCAUCUCUACUCUAUGAGUGGUACAGCUGUAGAUUAACAAAGUUAAGCAAUUUUUCCAAGAUCACACAUC